UACGAAGGGGGCUAGCGUUGCUCGGAAUCACUGGGCGUAAAGCGCACGUAGGCGGAUUGUUAAGUCAGGGGUGAAAUCCUGGAGCUCAACUCCAGAACUGCCUUUGAUACUGACGGUCUUGAGUUCGGGAGAGGUGAGUGGAACUGCGAGUGUAGAGGUGAAAUGCGUAGAUAUUCGCAAGAACACCAGUGGCGAAGGCGGCUCACUGGCCCGAUACUGACGCUGAGGAGCGAAAGCGUGGGGAGCGAACAGG
rnacentral:rRNA from 1 species